rnacentral:rRNA from 1 species
AUUGAACGCUGGCGGCAGGCCUAACACAUGCAAGUCGAGCGAGCGGCGGACGGGUGAGUAAUGUAUGGGGACUGCCCGAUAGAGGGGGAUCACUACUGGAAACGGUAGCUAAUACCGCAUACUAUCGGAUAACCCAUAUGGGAUUAGCUAGUAGGUGAGGUAAUGGCUCACUUAGGCGACGAUCCCUAGCUGGCCUGAGAGGAUGAUCAGCAACAAUGGGACUGAGAAACGGCCCAGACUCCCAGGGAGGCAGCAGUGGGGAAUAUUGUACAAUGGGCGCAAGCCUGAUGCAGCCAUGCCGCGUGUAUGAAGAAGGCCCUAGGGUUGUAAAGUACUUUCAGUCGGGAGGCGUUACCGACAGAAGAAGCACCGGCGAACUCCGUGCCAGCAGCAGCGGUAAUAC